UACGUAGGGCGCAAGCGUUGUCCGGAAUUAUUGGGCGUAAAGAGCUCGUAGGCGGUUUGUCGCGUCUGCUGUGAAAACCUCAGGCUCAACCUGGGGCUUGCAGUGGGUACGGGCAGACUAGAGUGCGGUAGGGUGACUGGAAUUCCUGGUGUAGCGGUGGAAUGCGCAGAUAAUCAGGAGGAACACCGAGUGGCGAAGGCAGGUCACUGGGCCGCAACUGACGCUGAGGAGCGAAAGCAUGGGGAGCGAACAGGAUU
rnacentral:rRNA from 1 species